UACAGGGGGGGGCAAGCGUUGUUCGGAAUCACUGGGCGUAAAGGGCGUGUAGGCGGCUGGAUAAGUGGGAUGUUAAAUCCCCCGGCUCAACCGGGGACCUGCAUCUCAUACUGCCGAGCUAGAGUCUGGGAGAGGGAAGCGGAAUUCCCGGUGUAGCGGUGAAAUGCGUAGAUAUCGGGGAGGAACACCAGUGGCGAAGGCGGCUUCCUGGACCAGCACUGACGCUGAUGCGCGAAAGCUAGGGGAGCAAACAGG
rnacentral:rRNA from 1 species